UAUUGAUUGGUGCUUGCAUCAUGAUUUACAUUUGAGUGAGUGGCGAACUGGUGAGUAACACGUGGGAAACCUGCCCAGAAGCGGGGGAUAACACCUGGAAACAGAUGCUAAUACCGCAUAACAACUUGGACCGCAUGGUCCGAGUUUGAAAGAUGGCUUCGGCUAUCACUUUUGGAUGGUCCCGCGGCGUAUUAGCUAGAUGGUGGGGUAACGGCUCACCAUGGCAAUGAUACGUAGCCGACCUGAGAGGGUAAUCGGCCACAUUGGGACUGAGACACGGCCCAAACUCCUACGGGAGGCAGCAGUAGGGAAUCUUCCACAAUGGACGAAAGUCUGAUGGAGCAACGCCGCGUGAGUGAAGAAGGGUUUCGGCUCGUAAAACUCUGUUGUUAAAGAAGAACAUAUCUGAGAGUAACUGUUCAGGUAUUGACGGUAUUUAACCAGAAAGCCACGGCUAACUACGUGCCAGCAGCCGCGGUAAUACGUAGGUGGCAAGCGUUGUCCGGAUUUAUUGGGCGUAAAGCGAGCGCAGGCGGUUUUUUAAGUCUGAUGUGAAAGCCUUCGGCUCAACCGAAGAAGUGCAUCGGAAACUGGGAAACUUGAGUGCAGAAGAGGACAGUGGAACUCCAUGUGUAGCGGUGAAAUGCGUAGAUAUAUGGAAGAACACCAGUGGCGAAGGCGGCUGUCUGGUCUGUAACUGACGCUGAGGCUCGAAAGUAUGGGUAGCAAACAGGAUUAGAUACCCUGGUAGUCCAUACCGUAAACGAUGAAUGCUAAGUGUUGGAGGGUUUCCGCCCUUCAGUGCUGCAGCUAACGCAUUAAGCAUUCCGCCUGGGGAGUACGGCCGCAAGGCUGAAACUCAAAGGAAUUGACGGGGGCCCGCACAAGCGGUGGAGCAUGUGGUUUAAUUCGAAGCUACGCGAAGAACCUUACCAGGUCUUGACAUACUAUGCAAAUCUAAGAGAUUAGACGUUCCCUUCGGGGACAUGGAUACAGGUGGUGCAUGGUUGUCGUCAGCUCGUGUCGUGAGAUGUUGGGUUAAGUCCCGCAACGAGCGCAACCCUUAUUAUCAGUUGCCAGCAUUAAGUUGGGCACUCUGGUGAGACUGCCGGUGACAAACCGGAGGAAGGUGGGGAUGACGUCAAAUCAUCAUGCCCCUUAUGACCUGGGCUACACACGUGCUACAAUGGAUGGUACAACGAGUUGCGAACUCGCGAGAGUAAGCUAAUCUCUUAAAGCCAUUCUCAGUUCGGAUUGUAGGCUGCAACUCGCCUACAUGAAGUCGG
rnacentral:rRNA from 2 species